rnacentral:rRNA from 1 species
UACAGAGGUCCCAAGCGUUGUUCGGAUUUACUGGGCGUAAAGGAGCUACGUAGGCGGUUCGUCGCGUUCGGCUGUGAAAUCCCGAGGCUCAACCUCGGGCCUGCAGUGGGUACGGGCAGACUAGAGUGCGGUAGGGGAGAUUGGAAUUCCGUGGUGUAGCGGUGGAAUGCGCAGAUAAUCAGGAGGAACACCGAUGGCGAAGGC